rnacentral:rRNA from 1 species
GGCUUACCAUGCAGUCGAGGGGUAACAGAUCUUCGGAUGCUGACGACCGGCGAACGGGUGAGUAACACGUAUGCAACUUACCCAUAACUCGGGAAUAGCCCAAAGAAAUUUGGAUUAAUACCCAAUAAUACAGGCGUACCGCAUGGUAUUCUUCGUUAAAGAAUAAUCGGUUAUGGAUAGGCAUGCGUUCUAUUAGGUAGUUGGUGAGGUAACGGCUCACCAAGCCGACGAUGGAUAGGGGAACUGAGAGGUUGUCCCCCCACACUGGUACUGAGACACGGACCAGAUUCCUACGGGAGGCAGCAGUGAGGAAUAUUGGUCAAUGGACGAAAGUCUGAACCAGCCAAAUCGCGUGAAGGAAGAAGGUAUUAUGUAUCGUAAACUUCUUUUGUAAGAGAGUAAAGUGCACUACGUGUAGUGUAUUGCAAGUACCUUACGAAUAAGCAUCGGCUAAUUCCGUGCCAGCAGCCGCGGUAAUACGGAAGAUGCAAGUGUUAUCCGGAUUUAUUGGGUUUAAAGGGUGCGUAGGUGGUCUAAUAAGUCAGUGGUGAAAUCUCUUUGCUUAACAAGGAAAUUGCCAUUGAAACUGUUAGACUUGAGAAUGGACGAGGUAGGCGGAAUUCGUAGUGUAGCGGUGAAAUGCAUAGAUAUUACGAAGAACUCCAAUAGUGUAGACUGCUUACCAGACCAUAUCUGACACUAAGGCACGAAAGUGUGGGUAUCAAACAGGAUUAGAUACCCUGGUAGUCCACACAGUAAACGAUGAAUACUAACUGUUUGCGAUAUACAGCAAGUGGUCGAGCGAAAGCGUUAAGUAUUCCACCUGGGAAGUAUGCCGGCACGGUGAAACUCAAGGAAUUGACGGGGGCCCGCACAAGCGGAGGACAUGUGGUUUAAUUCGAUAUACGCGAGAACCUUACCC